rnacentral:misc_RNA from 1 species
GAAAUGCGAUAAGUAAUGUGAAUUGCAGAAUUCAGUGAAUCAUCGAAUCUUUGAACGCACAUUGCGCCCGCCAGCACUCUGGCGGGCAUGCCUGUUCGAGCGUCAUUUCAACCCUCAGAACCCCUUGCGGGAUCUGGCGUUGGGGAUUGGCAUCCAGCCAGCCCCGAAAUCUAGUGGCAGUCCCUCCGCGACCUCCCCUGUGCAGUAGCGAUACCUCGCAGCGGGACAGCGGUCUGACCACGCCGUAAAACCCCCAACUUCUCAAGGUUGACCUCGAAUCAGGUAGGAAUACCCGCUGAACAUAAGC